AAUUCAAAGUCGAUUAGCCAUGUUAGUCGAGGGUGCUCCUUCUUCGGAAGAAGUAACCCGGCAGACGGCUCAGUAACACGUGGACAACUUCCCCUUUGAACCGGGAUAACCCCUGGGAAACUGGGGCUAAUACCGGAUAGAGCAUCGAUCGCUGGAAUGCAUGAUGCUCGAAAACCGAGGUGCCAAAGGAUAGGUCUGCGGCCGAUUAGGUUGUUGUUGAUGUAACGGAUCAACAAGCCUCCGAUCGGUAUGGGUUGUGAGAGCAAUAGCCCAGAGAUGGGUUCUGAGAAAAGAACCCAGGUCCUACGGGACGCAUCAGGCGCGAAAACUUUACAAUGUGCGAGAGCACGAUAAGGGAACUCUGAGUGCCUCCUAAGGAGGCUGUUCAGGUGUCUAAAAAGCAUCUGAAGGAAGGGCUGGGUAAGACCGGUGCCAGCCGCCGCGGUAACACCGGCAGCCCAAGUGGUGGCCACUUUUACUGGGUCUAAAGCGUUCGUAGCCGGCCAUGUAAGUUCCUUGGGAAAUUUGACCGCUUAACGAUCAAGCUUUCAGGGAAUACUGUGUGGCUUGAGACCGGGAGAGGUCAGAGGUACCUCAAGGGUAGGGGUGAAAUCCGUUAAUCCUUGGGGGACCGCCAGUAGCGAAGGCGUCUGACCAGACCGGAUCCGACGGUCAGGAACGAAGGCUAGGGUAGCGAACCGGAUUAGAUACCCGGGUAGUCCUAGCUGUAAACGAUGCGGGCUAGGUGUUGGCAUUACUGCGAGUGAUGCCAGUGCCGAAGGGAAGCCGUUAAGCCCGCCAUCUGGGGAGUACGGUCGCAAGGCUGAAACUUAAAGGAAUUGGCGGGGGAGCACUACAACGGGUGGAGCUUGCGGUUCAAUUGGAGUCAACGCCGGA
rnacentral:rRNA from 1 species